rnacentral:rRNA from 1 species
AGCGAACGCUGGCGGCAGGCUUAACACAUGCAAGUCGAACGGGCGUAGCAAUACGUCAGUGGCAGACGGGUGAGUAACGCGUGGGAACGUACCUUUUGGUUCGGAACAACUGAGGGAAACUUCAGCUAAUACCGGAUAAGCCCUUACGGGGAAAGAUUUAUCGCCGAAAGAUCGGCCCGCGUCUGAUUAGCUAGUUGGUAGGGUAAUGGCCUACCAAGGCGACGAUCAGUAGCUGGUCUGAGAGGAUGAUCAGCCACAUUGGGACUGAGACACGGCCCAAACUCCUACGGGAGGCAGCAGUGGGGAAUAUUGGACAAUGGGCGAAAGCCUGAUCCAGCCAUGCCGCGUGAGUGAUGAAGGCCCUAGGGUUGUAAAGCUCUUUUGUGCGGGAAGAUAAUGACGGUACCGCAAGAAUAAGCCCCGGCUAACUUCGUGCCCAGCAGCCGACGGUAAGCUACGUAGA